ensembl:lncRNA
GUUAGCCUAGCCGCGGUAGCAUCGCGGCUAGGCUAACGCUAGCAACAGCGAACCCAGCGGGAGAAAAGCGGUUAAAAGAACCAGCGGCAGCUCGCUGGUCCGUUUAAAAACGCAACGCUCGUUAGCAGCGCGUCGCCCGCUUCAGGGGCCGCGGUUCGCCCAACGGGGGGGAAACGAGUGUCGGCAAAAAGAGAAGCGAAUGGAAGUCCGGGUCCCAGAUGCGUUCCCCUGCCCACCUCGUAACAUGGUCGCUCCCGGAUCCACAUACCACGGGAAGAGAGCAGGACGCGUCCCCGCGCUACCGGCCAGGCGGAGAAACCGUCCCGCGUCGACAUCCACGAUCCGCCUCCGCCAGAGAGCGAGGUGGUUCCCGGCUCGGGUUCCGCUGCCCGGGGAGUCCUGCGCGGCUCCGGGCGGCCGCGUGCAUCCGACUCUUUCGGUUCUCUCGGCGCCUCAGAGAUUUUUGGGCUGCAAACGGGAGGAUGUGGAAGUUGGACGAGAGCAGCUGCAGCACGACCCCUUGAUCGCCCGGCCGGCUCCCUCUCUCUCUCUCUGAGGAGGAUGCGUGGCAUCAGAACACAGGACCAGGAACAUCUGGAGGAGGAUUCCCAUGUCCCAAAUGUUAAGAUCUUCCAGUCUCGUGGGUCUGCAGACGUCUGCUGACACGGCCGUGUUCUAAAGAAACACCCGACUGGUUCCACAGGGAGACAUGAAGACGUAUCCGCUGCCUCCCACCUGAACUCCUCGUGGAGCUCCCACCAGUAGAACCCUUCCAAACGCCAUGGAGGACAGAGCGAGGCUCUUCAGGCUCCUGUCCUCCUCCCUCGCAGACAUCAUUCAGCCAACCACCUCCAGGGGAUCAACCAACACAUUUCUUCAGGAGCUGGAAAAUCUCCUCAAAACCCAAACUGAAAGCAAGCCCCGAGGGGGGGGGAGACAUCAGAUGAGAGGACGUCCUGUCCUCCACUCCGGAGCGCUCAUACACCCACGCUGGGUUCUGUCCCUCACCCGUCUCUGAGGGACCCGGUCAGGUUGUGUUGAGGGAGUUUACUGAAGAUAAACCCGUUUUCCCUCCGGGUCGAACACCUGAUGACGGAGGCGAUUGCAGCACCGACCUGAGCCGGGACGCCAGCACAGCGCCCCCCAGUGUGCAGGAGCAGAACCGCGGUGGAGGGCCGACACCCGGUUCGUCUCUCACGUCCUCCUCCUGGAUUCAAGGGCUGGAAUCGUUGUCUCAACGCGGCGCUCUCUGUUCUAACCGCCUCCUUAUUUUCAUACACGUACUGGAUAGUAGUAUUAGUACACAGUACUCAGAGGAGCAGUAUGAAGUAUUAUCACAUUGUUCUUCCUCCAUGACUCCCUGGACCCGUGUCAGCUCUGGAUGAGGAGCCCCGGGUGGGUGGAUGCUCCCUCUAUUGUGUGUGUGUGUGUGUGUGUGUGUGUGUGUGUGUGUGUGUGUGUGCGCUCGGCUGGGCGGAGCAGGAAGCUGGUUCGUAUUUAUAUCUGCAGCAGGACCUCGCUGUGACUCAGAGGCCUGCUGUGGUGACACUUCGUCCUCUGUUCCGUGUGCAGGCCGUUUGGAACCUACGUGAAAGUGUGCAGACGAUUUGGUUUUGUGUCAUUUGUUCUGUCUGUAAAUGACAUUUCAUUUCAGUUAUUGUGGAUUCUUGUUUUUGAUCUUGCUUCUGUUUGCAUUUUGACCUCUGCUGCUGUAAUCCUGUGACCUCAAAUGUUAACCCCCCGCCCCCCACAGGUCAGAGCAAUCUGUAACCAGAGGUCAGAGGUCAGAGUCCAGUGUUGGCUGACACGUUAAGGGGCCUUUUGGGAUAUUUAAUUCUACUUAAUAUUACAUCUGUGUCUCUGAUUCUUGCCCCAGGAAAAAAAGGUUCACAGCAGACUUUCCAUCUCUGUUAGUGAAGACUUGUUGAAACGGCACGAAGAAUCUUUUAGCACCUGACUGCAGAUCUGCUGCUUCCACGUUGUCGAGGCUCAUUUCUGAACCCCCCCCCCCAAAAAAAAACAAUUGCCCCGGUGCUUCGGGCGACUGGCCCCAGCCAGACAGAGAGCAGCAGGCAGCGGACUGAGGGAGGGCUGUAACGGAGUGUAACUCACAGGCCGAUGACGUGAGAAGGUUCUCUCCCCCCCCGGGUCGCCCGUCUCAUAACUCCCGCCCUCUCUGAUCCAGAUCCCCGCGGCCUCAUGCAAAGCAGGCCGGGAGGACGCCGCCAUGCUGGGAGCCACAGAGUGAAGACUCUGAGACACAAAAAAGAUCCCGAAAGCCGGGAAGGUUGAUGUCAUCGUUCGCUUUCAUCAGCCUCUGACGCCCAACAGACGAUUCAUCCAGCUCCUUUUUCCUGGUGAAAACAGUCAUAGAAGUGGGCUGAGAUCCAGUACGCAGGGCCCCGUCAAAAUAAAAGCCCCUGUAACAACGCUCUCUGAAUGGCCAUGUGGCAUGAAUGUUACUUACAGAAGUUUUAUUUUGAAAACCCAUGUACUGAGGUGAUGAUAAUGAUACUUACACAAACAGCUACACAC